rnacentral:rRNA from 1 species
CCUACGGGAGGCAGCAGUGGGGAAUAUUGGGCAAUGGGCGCAAGCCUGACCCAGCAACGCCGCGUGAAGGAAGAAGGCUUUCGGGUUGUAAACUUCUUUUAAGAGGGAAGAGCAGAAGACGGUACCUCUUGAAUAAGCCACGGCUAACUACGUGCCAGCAGCCGCGGGAAUACGUAGGUGGCAAGCGUUGUCCGGAUUUACUGGGUGUAAAGGGCGUGUAGCCGGGCUGACAAGUCAGAUGUGAAAUCCCGUGGCUCAACCACCGAAGUGCCUUUGAAACUGUCGGUCUUGAGUAUGGGAGAGGCAGGCGGAAUGCCUAGUGUAGCGGUGAAAUGCGUAGAUAUUAGGAGGAACACCAGUGGCGAAGGCGGCAUGCUGGCCGACAACUGACGGUGAGGCGCGAAAGCGUGGGUAGCAAACAGGAUUAGAUACCCGGGUAGUC